rnacentral:lncRNA from 1 species
CAUCAUUCUCUCCAUUGGAAAUUCGAAGGGGUGUUUCUCUCAAAUCUUGGUCAAUUCUCUUGAAGAUAUCAUUUCAGCUUCGUGUUGUCUUCUCAGUUGUUUUCGUUCAUGAGUGAUCCCUUUCUUGCUAACCGGUGCAUUUCACAUUUGUUUCAUUGUCGACCCUCUGAAGGCCAUCACUUUAGAAGAAUCUUCGUUCUCAGCUUUCAGCUUUCAUCCUCAAUUCUUCUCAAUUGUUGUCUCUUCGUUCGUCUCUCAAAUAUUCUGGUGCCUUGUUCUAGUUUUUCUCUCAGGUGGCUCA